rnacentral:pre_miRNA from 1 species
UCCAACUUUAACCAUCCGUCUUUUUUAAGAAAAUUAUAAUUAAUAUUUUUAUUAUUAUUAAAUGAUAACACAUGAAUAGUUGCAUGACUAUUUUUCAAUUUAUUUAUAAAAUUUUUGAAUAAGACAAACAGUUAAAGUUGGACGUGGAAA